UGAGACACGGUCCGACGAACUCCUACGGGGAGGCAGCAGUAGGGAAUUUUCGUCAAUGGGGGGAACCCUGAACGAGCAAUGCCGCGUGAGUGAGGAAGGUCUUCGGAUCGUAAAGCUCUGUUGUAAGAGAAAAACGGCACUCAUAGGGAAUGAUGAGUGAGUGAUGGUAUCUUACCAGAAAGUCACGGCUAACUACGUGC
rnacentral:rRNA from 1 species